AUUUUUUCUGCCUUUAGCCAUAACAAGCAACAGGAUGGUGCAGCAUCCAGGUUCAGAAAGCUGCCUCCUCUCACUUAGUCAAAGUUAAUUAAUUCUCACUGUACCUUGAACUAGGUCAGCUGCAGGGCUGUGCUGGGCCUGACCUGCUGUCAGGGGAGGGCAUUUCUUGUCUGUCUCUUGAUGUGCUGUCCUGGGCAGGGAAAGUGGGAAGGGGGUAGGUUUCACCUUUGCGUGGGAUCAUCUCUCCCCCUUUCUUCCGGGGAGGUGACCAUUUUCAGAUCUGUGGGUGGGGAGGAAAAUCUUCUCUUCCAAAAAUAAUCUCUCUGCAGUGGGGUUUGAAGCUGGACCAAGCUGCUAGCGCUAUUUUUACCCAGCUUGCAGUUCAGGGUGUAAAUAGCAACUCUGGCUGUUUUUUCCCACAGCUGACAACAGAGUCAACCUCUUCGAGGCAGGAGCAUUCUGGCAUUUCGCACAGAGAAAACAGAACACAAUUUGCCCUCGGGCCCAGUUGAUGAUUCCUGGACCGUGGGGUCGAUAUCCAGGGCUGGCAUCUCCACGGUUCUUUUAUCUCAGUCUCCACUAUAAACACCAGGCCCCAUGAGAGCUGCUGGGCUGAGGCUCAUUUAAAGAAGCUUCCUGCGGAAUGAUGAGGGAAAAGGCAGGUCCGUAAAUCCCCGCCUGCGCCCGCCGAGGAUUCCAAGCGCAUGAGCAGCUCCAGGCUCCAGCUUGCUGUCCCCCUUGCCCUCCUUCUUGCAUUAGCAGGCACUUCCUCUAAGGCUGCUGCCCUGGGAGGGUUUCUUGCAAACCCACUAGAUCUGAGGAAAGACAGAGAAAACAUCUACUUAAGGCUGCCCAGAUGACAGCAUGUGUCUAAAAAUAUAUGUCUCCUAGUUUUCGAGUGAUCGAAGGCCCCACAGCCUUCAGCACUGGAGUCAUUUAGAGGUCAUGGUGAAAGGACUGGCUCCCUCCUUGCCUCCAUUUAAGCAGAAGCUGCGAGAAAGCCCCCAAAGCCUUGGGUCAUGUCUCCAACAGGCUCGGAUGCACAAAUCUGUUUUCAAGCCUGGAAAAUGAAGCAAAUGUGUGGUUUUCAGCUACUGUUGCAGUUCAGGGGCCUUUGUAGCAAAUGAUACUCCCCUAGACUAAGGAUCCGAAAUACAAAUGUCUAUAGAAAGGCCACGCAGAUAUCGUACUUGGAUGGAGGCAGCCAGAGGUUACAUUCUUAGCAGGAAUGUGAGCCAACUCUCUCCCUAGGAAGGCUCCUGCUGUGAAACCAUCUUUGGCAAUGAAUCUUUAACAAAAGAUCAAGAACUUGACAUUUAUUUUUAAGCACGAGAAGAAAAUGUGUGCAAUGUUGGAAGCAAGGACAGGGAUAGGAAGAGCUUCUAAACAGUUGCAGGCAGGGGCAGUGGAACAGAAAUAAAUAUUACAUAAGUGACAUGUUGGUGACUUUACUUUUGUGAAAUAGCAACUAAUGACUAGGUAUGGAAUAUAUGGAUUAUAUGAUGUUAAGGUUUAACGUCUUUUUAA
rnacentral:lncRNA from 1 species